rnacentral:rRNA from 1 species
UACGUAGGGGGCAAGCGUUGUCCGGAUUUACUGGGCGUAAAGAGCGUGUAGGCGGCCACGCAGGUCCGUUGUGAAAACUGGAGGCUCAACUUCCAGCCGUCGACGGAAACCGUGUGGCUAGAGUCCGGAAGAGGAGAGUGGAAUUCCAGGUGUAGCGGUGAAAUGCGUAGAUAUCUGGAGGAACACCGGUGGCGAAGGCGGCAUCCUGGACCAACACUGACGCUGAGGAGCGAAAGCCAGGGGAGCAAAGCGGG